rnacentral:rRNA from 1 species
CGAAGGUCCCAAGCGUUAUCCGGAUUUAUUGGGUUUAAAGGGUGCGUAGGCGGCUUAUUAAGUCAGUGGUGAAAGCUCCAUGCUUAACAUGGAAAUUGCCAUUGAUACUGAUGAGCUUGAGUAUAUUUGAAGUGGGCGGAAUGUGUCGUGUAGCGGUGAAAUGCUUAGAUAUGACACAGAACACCGAUUGCGUAGGCAGCUCACUAAACUAUAACUGACGCUGAGGCACGAAAGCAUGGGGAUCAAACAGGAUUAGAUACCCUGGUAGUCCAUGCCCUAAACGAUGAUUACUCGAUGUGUGCGAUAUACUGUACGCGUCUGAGCGAAAGCAUUAAGUAAUCCACCUGGGGAGUACGGCCGCAAGGCUG